AUAUCUGCUGAAUGUCCCCGGGUUGCUUUUCUGGCAGAACCAUCGACUCAGAGCCCAAGGACGAAGAAGGCAGUCAGGGCUCCUUUCCAAGGUCUGAACCGCCUGCGCCAGACCCUGCGUCCUCUGUUUGCUCUUUGACCUCCGCGGCCUGAGCAUCCCUCCUGCCUCAGCUUGAACUCCUACCCAGGCCGAUCCCCAAGUGGCUGCCAUCUUCCCCAAGUGUGGCCCCCACCCCCUACCGGCCACCGAGAUCCCACCCACCCUCGGCCCAAGCCCUGCCUCCUGGAAGCCUUCCCUGACUGCAGAGCCCGCACCGCACAG
rnacentral:lncRNA from 1 species